CCUACGGGCGGCAGCAGUGAGGAAUAUUGGUCAAUGGCCGGAAGGCUGAACCAGCCAUGCCGCGUGAAGGUCAGUGCCCUAUGGGCGUUAAACCUCUUUUGUGCGGGAGCAAUAAUGGUCACGUGUGGCCAGACGAGAGUACCGUACGAAUAAGCAUCGGCUAACUCCGUGCCAGCAGCCGCGGUAAUACGGGGGAUGCAAGCGUUAUCCGGAUUUAUUGGGUUUAAAGGGGGCGGAGGCUGUGAGGUAAGUCAGCGGUGAAAUGCCCCCGCUCAACGGGGGGAAGUGCCAUUGAUACUGGCUUGCUGGAAUGCAGAUGCGGUAGGAGGAAUGUGUGGUGUAGCGGUGAAAUGCAUAGAUAUCAGACAGAACACCGAUUGCGAAGGCAUCUCACGAAUCCGCGAUUGACGCUGAUGCACGAAAGCGUGGGUAUCAAACAGGAUUAGAUACCCCAGUAGUC
rnacentral:rRNA from 1 species